ACUGGGAGUCUCGUGAGUGAAAACAUCUGAAGCUCAUCAAAGGAACAGAUCAACCCACUACCACCAAACACUCAACAGAUCAACCCAAAGGACACGCCACCACAAAUGUCAUAACAACUUCACCUCAAGCUACACUGACAGAACAUGUUCAUGUCCGGGAAGGAACUCAGGGGGACUUCAGGAGAAGCUCAACCUUCAUCCUCUGACCCCAAUACAAUCCUCUACAUCUUACUGUCUGUUCUACCAGUCAUACUGACCAUCGCUGGAGUGGCUCUGUACAUGUACAAGAGGAACAAAGGUACUUCUUUCACACACAGUUAAAACUGCCAGAUGAAAAAUAUUGUUGUCAUUGUUAUGAGUUCAGAAAGUGAAUCCCUUGACCCCUAUGGAAGAAAAACACAGAGAAGAAAAAUAGUGGGAGCCAAACAGGAGGAAAGCAAAAAGAUGAGGUAAAAUAAUGCACGUCACAUUACACUGAGAAUUCUAGAUUUUAGCAGCAGCGCACGCAGUUUCUCUGAAUGUAUCUUGUGUUUGUAAUUGUCCCUCUCUAUCGGAGAAUCCCUCAGUGACAUACUCCACCAUCGACCACAUGAAAGGAAAGCGGAAAGCAGCAGUAAGUCUAGAGAAGUGGAGAAACAGAGUACGCCAGCAUCAAGAUAGGCAGAU